rnacentral:rRNA from 1 species
AUGGGAAACCCUGUUGAUGCACCUAAACCCUAUCAAUGGAUAUGGAAAUCAUGCUCUUUACCAAAGCAGAAAUUCUUCUUCUGGCUCUUGUUACAAGACAGAUUAAACACUAGAGAUCUACUAAAAAGAAAGAAUUUCUACAUUGAGACUAGUAAGUGUGAAUUAUGUGAUGAUGAACCUAAUGAACAUUUAAUGCAUCUGUUUUUUAGCUGUGAUUUCAGUCAAAACUUCUGGAUGAACAUUGGCUACCAAUGGAACACUGAUCAUAACCUCAUAGAAAUGCUCCUGGAGGGAAGGAAGCAAGAUACACAUGGAUGCUUUAAAGAAUGUCUGAUUGCUGGAUGCUGGAGUCUAUGGAAACACAGAAAUAGCAUAAUUUUUUACAACAAGGUCAAAAAUAUGACAUUCUGUAUUGCCACUUUCAAGGAGCACUUUUGCAUGAUUAUAAAGAAGGCAAAACCAGGAUUGAAAGAGGGCAUGCAAAGCUGGCUAGAUCAUUUGUAG